UGUUCAGUCUUGCUACUAAGCGCUAGCCACGCAUUUGCUAUUCUUUUUCUCCGCCGACUCAUCACCGACCCGCUCCUGCCCCUCCUGAUGAGGUGACGUCUUUGGACGACAGCACGGAAGGAUCACACUCCAACUAACUCCAAGCGUCAUCAUCGAUCCCCAUGGAGGAGCAUCCCGCUUUUGGAGGCCGUGAACCGACGAGCAUUAAUGGUUUUCACGAUGACGCUCAACGGGAACGGGCCCGUCGGGAGCCAGCAAGCAGGCAGGACAUGGGCCUUGAAGAAGACCUGGAUCAUCGGAUCGGCCGUGAGCGGCCUAGCAGAAGCCCCACCUAUGAUCCAACCGCAUCUACCGAAGAUCUGGUGCCCCGUAUUGUUCUUUGUGAAGACCGCCCCAUCGAGAAUCUCCCGGUGAUGGUAUCUCCAGAGCUCAAGCUGAUUGGUCGCUGUGUGACCUUCCUCGUGAAACAGACUCUCAAUGGCGCAGCGGCCACUUCCUACUACUAUAUCGGGCUUGUAUCUACUGUCACGGCGAGCACUGCGACAUUGAUGCACGUCGACCGGUAUACGCCUGCCGACUUCAAGGCGUACAAGUCGCGGGAGCAGCGCUUGGCAAACGGUCUAGCCGUCCCUGUAAAUACCGGCAGCAGUAUCGGUAACAAUCGAGGUCGCGAAUUCAACGAGGUGUCGAUGAGCGCGAACAAUCGCCCUCCUUCAUCUCUACCUGAUGGUGAACUUCGCUCCUACAGCCGAGCCAAUGAAGACGAAGUGGCUGCUGCCGAGGAUGGGAGUCUCACUAGAGCACGCGGCGCUGGACAACUCAUCGACUUGUACGCUUCCGGUAGCUUAGCCCAUUCAGCUCCACUGACGACAGAGACGGAGCUGGCCACUGCCAUCUCGACGCAGCGGGACAAGGAGCAGCUUCGGGCGCCGUAUGCAUCACUCGAAGAGAACCAGGAGCAGCCGGAAGCAGGAGGCGCUGCACGGUACAGGCACUUUCGGCGCUUCAGCGGAUCCAUCGGGCCGAUCCCGUACGUGACCUUCUUGCGCAAGAACAUCCAGGACGUCGAAUUCGGUCGCGACCCGAAUGCCAUCUUCUACUCGCUCUUCCAGGACCCGGCGAAGCACAUUGACGACAUGCAGUGCCUGCGCAUGUUUGUGCGGCGCUACCUGGUGCACACGAGCGAGGGCAACAACCCGCGCCAGGUGCCGCUCUAUGCAUUCCUGUCUGUCCGGUGUGCAUGGCCGGAUGUGGACCGUGAGCUGGUGAAUCGGCUGGUGUAUGAGGAGCUUACCGCUCUCGUCAAGGCCGACCGCGCCAUCGCGACGGAGAGAAAGCGAAAACGCGCCCGCGAGGAGCGGCAGUUGCAGCGUUAUCGCGCGCCUGCCGGCCUCUUCUCCAGUACGGGCAUUCUCUAUCUCACGAAAAUUCCGCAGAGAUCCUUCUUUGCGGGUAUCGUCACGCUUCUGUUUAGUUUGCUCUUCGCCGUCUACCUUGGCGUGGUUCUUAGCAUCACUAGCGACGCCCUUAUUGUUAGCUUCGUGAGCAAGUUCAUGUUCUCUUUCGUCGCCUCUGUUGUGGUGUGGCCCACCGCUGGCGUGGCGAUCAUGUUGCACGCCAGCCAGGGUCACAUUCCCCUACUGGUCGACCACUUUCGACUUGGUAUGCGCAUCGCAUUCACUCUGGCGGCUAUUGGAUGCUGUAUGAUGACGCUGCUCGUUGUGCUCUGGAAAAUGACGAACCAGGCAAUGUACGACCUCAUGCUUGUGCAUCAGAGGGACCAGCUCUGCGCCUUCUACCAGCAGCAUACAUGUACGGGUUUCUCGGACGCGUGUGGGUCCGGCAGAAUCGAUCCAAACCUGUGCUCGCUGUGCUCCAACAUGCCGGUGACAAACACCAGCUGCUACGCAUAUCUGUGGGUUGAGGUCGAGAAAGCCCUUGUUCCCCUCGUGUGCUUCACCUGCAUCAUCCUGAUGGCUACUGUGUACGCUGUAUAUCUGGUUGUAAAGCUGUUUUUGUUUGUAGAGGCCGUGAUGGGACGGAUUGUGUGACCGUGAUGCCCUUUGACUGUGCUCUCUCUCUCUGUCUCAGCCCCUCCCCGAGGACUGUGUUUUUCUCGGUGUUCAUGUGCUUUUGUUUGUGUUCUCCAUCCGUGUAGCCUAUCGUGUCGGAGAGAGGGUCGCUUUUGCCGGGUUGUCUGUCUGCCGUUCCGUUUUCUUUUUCUGGUGUGCAUACCUUCCACGCGCCUCUCCAGUUCUUCCUCGUCGCCGAUCCGCCGCAAAGGUUUCGAUGCCUUCGUUUCUUUGUGGUCGGUUUGCCGUAUCGUCCCUUGUGUGUCUACUCAGACGAAGGCUCGCAUCGUCGUCGGCUUGGACGUCGCCGUGUAUAUUUUUGCCUUCCCUUCCUCUCCCUCGUUCUCUCCCUUUUUUUUUUACCCCCCCCCAUGCCUUUCCGUGGGCUCCCCCACCCCUGUUGUGCAUUGACCGGUUCAUCUCUCCGCCCUCCCUUCCCCCUCCUCCUUCCUCGUUUAUCUAAUCCCUGCUAGUCGUCGUCUCCUACUUCCUCCUCUCCACCGCCGCCACCACGUCGUCCUCUAGCCUUACAGGAUAUGUGCUCUGCUCGUUCUCCUCCAUGCAGACACAUCUAUAUAUCUAUACACAUGCAUGUAGGCACAGAUAUGCGCACACACACACACACACGCAUACGCAUAUGUGUACGUAUAACUGUAUCUACAUGCAUGUGUGUAUGUGCGUGUAUUUUUGUUUUGCUCCUGCAAUUGGAACUGCCGCAUUCCCCUUUGCGCCCUCUCCUCAUGUACAGCGCUGUGCGCCUUGGCCAGUGCAUGCGCAGGUGUGUGGUAUUCUCCCCGCCUAGCUGUGCUGCGGGUCGCUCG
rnacentral:misc_RNA from 1 species